CGACCCGGCCAUAGCGGCUGGGCAACACCCGGACUCGUCAGAUCCCGGCAGUUAAGCCAGCCGCGUUAGGUGUGGCUGUGGCUU
rnacentral:rRNA from 1 species